rnacentral:rRNA from 1 species
CUACGGGCGGCACCAGUGGGGAAUAUUGGACAAUGGGGGAAACCCUGAUCCAGCAAUGCCGCGUGUGUGAAGAAGGCCUGCGGGUUGUAAAGCACUUUCGGUUGGGAGGACUGCUUCUAGCACUAAUAUUGUUGGAAGUUGACGUUACCUUCAGAAGAAGCACCGGCUAACUCCGUGCCAGCAGCCGCGGUAAUACGGAGGGUGCAAGCGGUAAUCGGAAUUACUGGGCGUAAAGCGCGCGUAGGCGGCUAGAUCAGUCGGGUGUGAAAGCCCCGGGCGUAACCUGGGAACUGCAUCCGAUACUGUCUAGCUUGAGUACAGGAGAGGAGAGUGGAAUUCCACAUGUAGCGGUGAAAUGCGUAGAUAUGUGGAGGAACACCAAUGGCGAAGGCAGCUCUCUGGCCUGAUACUGACGCUGAGGCGCGAAAGCGUGGGGAGCAAACAGGAUUAGAUACCCCGGUAGUC